AGAGCAUGAUGAACCCAGCCGUUAGCAGGAAGGCGGCACAACAACGUCAGCGGCGCACCUACAGAGUGAGAAGAGAUAUUUUCGCUGAGUACGACGAUGCUGAGUUACUGAAAAGAUUCAGAUUGGACCGUGCUGGUAUUGUUGCAGUGACUGAUAUAGUGAGAGACAAGCUGCAAAGUAAAACUGAAAGAAAUAGAGCCUUGACCCCUGAGAUGGUGGCCAUCACAUUACGAUAUUUAGCCACAGGAAAAAUGCAACAGUGCAGUUGUGAUGAUUUUGGAACAACGCAGCCCACUAUCAGCCGUGCAAUAUCACAGACGAUUGAUGCACUGGCUGACCCAGAAGUAAUCUGCCAGUUCGUGGCUUUCCCUCACACCCAGCGUGAAGUGCAGCAAAAACAGGCAGAGUUCAUGCAAGUAACUCAGUUUCCGGUGUUGUGGGAGUGAUUGAUGGCACUCAUAUAAGAAUUGUGUCUCCUCAUGUCGAUGAACAUGUAUAUGUGAACAGGAAACGCUAUCACAGCAUAAAUGUGCAAGUAGUAUUUGAUGCUCACUAUAAGAUUCUUGACAUUGUGGCAAGGUGGCCUGGCUCAGUCAACGAUGCAAGAAUACUAGAUAAGUCAGCACUCAAACUGAUGUUUGAGGAACAACAUGUACCUGCAGGAUGCUACCUUCCCGGGGACAGUGGCUAUCCCUGUAAGCAGUGGCUCCUCACUCCUUACCUUCGCCCUCAAACUGUUGCACAAGCUAAUUAUAACAGUUCCAGUACCUUACGAUGCAGCCGAGGGGACUGACGCCACCACCACCACUGCCACCACCGCCACAACAAGGGUUAUUCAAAUGGGGAACAUGCUUCAGGUGUUGCCCCAAGAUGCCUCAGCCCCGCAGCCCCACUUCCCCAUGAUAGUGCAGGCAGGGAAUGUCAUACAGGUUGUUCCAGCUGACAACACGCAGGUAUUAGGGGCAGAAGUCGUUGGAGUUGGUCGGGUCAUGCAAGUGGUCGGAGUCCCAGGCUUUCCCCCGACCCCAGCCCCAGACCCCUGCCCCAGCCACCCCUCUCCCUGUGACCCCUGCCCAGUCAUCCCUCACCCCCUCCUGCCCCCCUGCGGUGCUGCCAGCGGGGGUGAUGGGAGGUGGAGGUGGGCCACACACACCUGGGUUAGCUGUGGCUUGGCUUAUCUCCCUCCUCAGCAGCAAAUCCCGAGGAUCAACGAGGACAUGGUGGACCCAGAGAUUGCAGCAGCAGCAAGAGAGAGAGAGAGAAGCAAGAGAGGAGGGAGAGGAAGGAGAGGAGGAGGAGAGAGAGGGAGGCCAGGAGGGAGGCACGUCAGAGAGAGAGGGAGAGGAAGAGGUUGAUUCUGUUACAACAACAACUGCAACAACAACAACAGUUAGUCAGUGAGGAGGGGGAGGGGCCGUCCUCUGAUGCUGAGGAUGAGGUAUUGUUCAGGGAGGCCAUGUCGGAGGUGCCGGUGGUGGGGUCGCCAGUUCCGGAGUACGAGGUGGAGGAGGAAAAGGAAGAGGAGGACGAGGAGGAGGCACGGAUAAGGAAGAAGAAAAGAUUAUUACCUGUAGCCCUCCCUCCAGCUGAUAAGGGGAUAUUAAGGAGCCCUUCCUACAGGUUCGUUCGAUGCAAGGAGUUGGCACAGGAGGCGUCCGAGGCUGUGUAGAGCGGCCGUCUGAACCUGGUGCCACAGCUUACUAUGUUCAACAGAUGCCUGAAGGAAGUGUGUGUAAGGGAGGAUAAAGAGAUCAUGCUGGCCUAUGCAGACGAUGUCGCUGUCGUGACAGGAAGCCAACAAGAUCUUCAAGAGGCCAUGACAAGAUGGAAUGAUGUUUUAAAUAGGGAAGGAAUGAGAAUGAACAAACAAAAAACUUAUUUACUAGUGGACAAGCAACAAGUGAUGGUGUGGCUCUGAGCCACUGUAGUAGGGAUGUUAUGGUUUAAGUGUAGGAAGUUGCAAAUGCUCACCUAACAAUUGCACCUUAGUAGAAAAACACAAACAGGAAGUUUAUGCAAGUUUUUAUCCUUAUAUAAAAUGUUGUAUUGCAUCAAACCUCCAUACAUUACUGUCUCUAUCCAGUAUGAGACCGGUGUUCAGGAAGCACAAGCAUGUGCUGAAUAACAAGAAGCCGGCAUUGGUGAAGGUGACAACAUUUCAUCUAUUUAUACAUACUUUUUAUUAUUAAAGCUUAUCUUAUAAUUAUUUCUGAAGAGAUUGACUAAUUUUUGUAGUAUUUAUGACUUAGAACUAUGAUAAAGCUAUGAAUUGAUAUAAUUCCUGAUUUGUUUUAUCUUUUCAUUAUCCUUCCUUUGUUAAUUGAGCAUUUUAUAUUACUUAGCUUAAAAAUGCAAGAACGGUUCAGAAGUAUCCAACCUUGGGCUAAGGGCCAAAAUUAUGGUAUCAUUCAAAAUGUCCUUCAAAGAAAGCCCUCUGUAAUCCAACACACUUAGCCCAUUAAUCCUUCCAUUUCUCAUCAAUUUGUUCAACAUUCAUAUUUUUCCCUUAUAGGGUUGAACAAUUUUCAUGGGUUCAGAGCAAAAGGCUUCCUCAUUCCUCCCCAAGGUAUUCUCGGAUGGUAAGCAGGUUUGACUCUGGAGCAAACCUGACCAAGGGCUACUGCCCAAGGCUACAGAGGUUCCUCUCCCUGAGGCUGAAUGCACCAUGUGAGAUGGUUCUGUUAUGUGGAUGAAUGUCAUGGUGGAUAGCAGUGCCACCACAUUCCUACAAUCAUCCAUCACUCCACUGCUCAAACGCUUCUGCAACCAAUGAUAGGUAUGCUGCCACAUUCUGCAUGGUCUCCUUGGCUCUCAGAUAAGGAUACUGUCAACAGGUUUGGGAUUGCCAAAAAAUCAUAAGGAGCUAUGUCUGAAAAGUCCAGAGAGAGAGAGAGAGAGAAAGAAUGAGCAAGAGAAAGAGUAGGAUGAAGCAAAGGAAGAGUCAAGAGGGAGGAAGAGAGAGUAGGACAAGAAAAAACAGAACAAAUAAAUCCCCUACACGUCUUGUCUCCAUUCACACAAGCCAUGAAAAGCUUGUCCAUCCCUGAGUGCUCAGAAGCAGUGUUCCACUGAUGAUGUGGAAACUUGAGACACCCAAUCAUUUAAUGGGCUUUAGUAGGUUUUGUCACCAGUCUUCUGUGUGUCACUGACUACAUUUUGAAAUUUUUAUCUGUUCUAUUUAAUUUUGUGUGUAUGUACACAAUGUUUAUGGUCAAUAAACUAUUUAUAAAACUAUUUAUCUGUGUGAGUAAGAUAAAAGCAGUUAUUGUUAUUAUUAUUAUUAUUAUUAUUAUUAUUAUUAUUAUUAUUAUUAUUACACAUUUUCCUCCUUGUAUUUAAAUAUUAUUAUUAUUAUUAUUAUUAUUAUUAUUAUUAUCAUGAAUUGUUCUUGUUUAUAAAUAAAAUACUGUAACUGA